UUAAACUCUUAAAAAUGGUAAAUAUAACAUCAAAGAAACACUUCAUAAGUUACAUAUGCAGUCAAAAGAAAAUACGACUAAUUCUCCCUCUCUAACGUGUUCAAUCUCUCAUACAUCACACUCACAAAAUGAAAUAAAGAUGAAACAAAUGAAAAGCUCCAGAAAUGUCAAUAUCAACCUAGGUUUUAUUUAUGACUAUUAUCUCACCGCUACUGACAAUCCGCUAUCAAAUCAGUCCAACUGUUAACAGAAAUAUAUGUAUUAAUAAUUAAAAAAAAAUCCUUCAGACAAAAUUGAAAUGAAUUCAUAAUUAAAGUCGGUGUUUUCCUUGUAACUGGGUAGCGUACGACGAGAUAAAUCUCACACGUACCGUCUGUAGUAUAAUUUAAAUAGUUCAAAACUGCAACACAUUCCCUGCUAAAUCCUAAAUACACAUAUAGGUCAAGCUGAUUAGUUAGUAAAGAUAACGCCAAUUACUUUAGCAAUUAUUUUCGAAGUACUGUAAGAUGAUAGGCCGGGACGUCACAUGACACAUGCUACAGUUUUCUGCACACAUAAACAUACACAGCUGUAUUUCUUGAUGUCAGACUGACCAACGCCAAAUUGCGGUUAAAAUUUAAUUGUUUGUGUAGAAAUUUCAAUCGCGUCCAACAGUCCAAAUGAAAAUUAAAGUUCAGAUGACAAUAAACAAUUGCGAAAUACUUUCGAUAUUAAUAUGCAUGUAUACAAUGUUGUUUAAAAACAGUUCCUUGAAUUUUACCGUUUUCUUUUGUUGACGAAAACUCCCAUAAAUUUAUGACUUCUGAAUAUUGUCUAAAUCCAAAUAAAAAACAUCCAAAUUUCACACAAAAUCCAAAAAUUGUUUCUAGUGUCAACUGCAUGGUACUGCUAUACUCCACGAGAACGAAAAUUCCAGAAGAUUUCAACGUGGUCAAAAUUUAAUAAUGGCGCCGCCAGCCUCGUGGUCUAGACUUUAAAAAAGUUUGUUCUUCAUCUUUGGGGACAGCUCACAUAAAAACACUUAAAAAAGGGGUCGUUUUGAAGUCCUCCACCAUAUUACGUACAUGGGGGGACAUAUAUACUUGCCUCCCCAUGCCGCUAAAGUUAUAUUUGCUUAAGAGCAAUAAAAACACAUCUAUUUCCAUAGCACGUUUAUUUCAAAGAGACAGAUAACAUCACAUGACAAAUAUGCAUCAUUAUCAUACAAAGGGACACAACUCUCACGACUAAACUACAAAACACAUACGACCAUACAAUACAUAUACAUAACACAUGAACUUGGGUAGAA
rnacentral:lncRNA from 1 species